GACAGAGGGGGCAAGCGUUGCUCGGAAUUACUGGGCGUAAAGGGCGCGUAGGCGGGAUGGCAAGUCGGUCGUGAAAUCCCUCGGCUCAACCGAGGAACGUCGAUCGAUACUGCUGUUCUUGAGGAUUGCAGAGGAGACUGGAAUUCCCGGUGUAGCGGUGAAAUGUGUAGAGAUCGGGAGGAACACCAGUGGCGAAGGCGAGUCCCUGGACAACGACUGACACUGAGGCACGAAAGCUAGGGGAGCAAACAGG
rnacentral:rRNA from 1 species